rnacentral:rRNA from 1 species
GAGCGGAUGAGAGGAGCUUGCUCCUUGAUUUAGCGGCGGACGGGUGAGUAAUGCCUAGGAAUCUGCCUGGUAGUGGGGGAUAACGUUCCGAAAGGAACGCUAAUACCGCAUACGUCCUACGGGAGAAAGCAGGGGACCUUCGGGCCUUGCGCUAUCAGAUGAGCCUAGGUCGGAUUAGCUAGUUGGUGAGGUAAUGGCUCACCAAGGCGACGAUCCGUAACUGGUCUGAGAGGAUGAUCAGUCACACUGGAACUGAGACACGGUCCAGACUCCUACGGGAGGCAGCAGUGGGGAAUAUUGGACAAUGGGCGAAAGCCUGAUCCAGCCAUGCCGCGUGUGUGAAGAAGGUCUUCGGAUUGUAAAGCACUUUAAGUUGGGAGGAAGGGCAUUAACCUAAUACGUUAGUGUUUUGACGUUACCGACAGAAUAAGCACCGGCUAACUUCGUGCCAGCAGCCGCGGUAAUACGAAGGGUGCAAGCGUUAAUCGGAAUUACUGGGCGUAAAGCGCGCGUAGGUGGUUCGUUAAGUUGGAUGUGAAAGCCCCGGGCUCAACCUGGGAACUGCAUCCAAAACUGGCGAGCUAGAGUACGGUAGAGGGUGGUGG